ACGGGUGAGUAACACGUGGGCAAUCUGCCCUUCACUCUGGGACAAGCCCUGGAAACGGGGUCUAAUACCGGAUAUCACUUCCACUCGCAUGGGUGGGGGUCGAAAGCUCCGGCGGUGAAGGAUGAGCCCGCGGCCUAUCAGCUUGUUGGUGAGGUAAUGGCUCACCAAGGCGACGACGGGUAGCCGGCCUGAGAGGGCGACCGGCCACACUGGGACUGAGACACGGCCCAGACUCCUACGGGAGGCAGCAGUGGGGAAUAUUGCACAAUGGGCGAAAGCCUGAUGCAGCGACGCCGCGUGAGGGAUGACGGCCUUCGGGUUGUUGACCUCUUUCAGCAGGGAAGAAGCGAAAGUGACGGUACCUGCAGAAGAAGCGCCGGCUAACUACGUGCCAGCAGCCGCGGUAAUACGUAGGGCGCAAGCGUUGUCCGGAAUUAUUGGGCGUAAAGAGCUCGUACGCGGUCUGUCGCGUCGGAUGUGAAAGCCCGGGGCUUAACCCCGGGUCUGCAUUCGAUACGGGCAGACUAGAGUGUGGUAGGGGAGAUCGGGAAUUCCUGGUGUA
rnacentral:rRNA from 1 species